rnacentral:lncRNA from 1 species
GGUAUGUGGGAUAAACAGUAACAGUGGAGGCUGCAGCUCCCAGAACAACAGCCACAAUAUCAGGAGCAGGACCUGCAGCAGCAGCUAUCCCACCCCAUCCCACAGUCACCACCCCCAUCCCUGGGGACGGGAAGAAGGAGUGGCAGUAGCUGCAGCAACAGCUGAACUAAACAGGUCACCUGCUGGUAUUUUGUGCAUGGGAUUUGUAAGGAAGGACAUAACUGUCGCUACUUGCAUUCCCUCUCUGACAGUCCACAUGGCGUAGUGGGCAAGUAUUUUCAGCGACGGUACUGUGUUUAUGGAGGCCGCUGCAGAUGUGAACACAGCAAGCCACUGAAACGAACAAGCAACUGCUACAGAUCUAACUACAAAAUCAUCCCUUGCUGCUUCCUUAAGUCUCUCAUUCAUAGUUGGACCGCUUGUGGAAAUGAAUACAGGCGAAGCUGAGUCAGACUCAAACUUUGCAACUGUAGGAGUGGGUUCAGAGGACUGGGUAGAUGCUGUUGAGUUUGUUCCUGGGCAACUCUACUGCAGCGUACACUGCCCCUUUCUGCAGUGACCAAGGGAGAAUCAGAGAAAGAGCAAACAGCUGUGAUAACAAGCUGCUUUGCCCCUAGGCUGCAGUGGGAGAGAUGGAAAUGGGUAGAACUGUGUGUAUCUCCACAGAGAGUCAUGUGAUCAUGUAAGCUGCAGGUCCUACCUCCAAUGGAUGCUGCCCAGAGACCACAGCAUAUAAAAAUCUUGUCCUGAGGCCCAUGAGAAGGAAACGGAGCUCUCAUUUGCUGUGCAGUGCAGCAAGGAUACGAUGUGUGGGAUCUGCAUGGAGGUGGUCUGUGAGAAAGCCAGCCCCAGUGAGCGUGGCUUUGGGAUCCUCUCCAGCUGCAGCCACGCCUACUGUCUCAAGUAUAUUCACAAGUGGAAGGGCACUAAGCUAUUUGAGAGCAAGAUCAUAGUGUCCUACCCAGAAUGCCGGAUCACAUCUAACUUUGUCAUUCCCAGUGAGUACCAGGCGGGAGAAAGAAGAGAAGCAGAAACUCAUCCAGAAAGUCAAGGAGGCAAUGAGCAGCCAGGCGUGCAGGGAUUUUGAUGAAGGACAGGGGAGCUGCCCAUCUUGGGGGAUGUGUUUUUACAAGCAGGUAUUCCCUGAUGGCCAUAGAAAGGAUACACAGAGACAGGCAAACAGAUACUGGGCCCAGUGAAGGAACCACUUCUCGGAGCUCAUUGAGGAAAGAGAGAACAAUGACCCCUUUGACAACAAUGAAGAAGAGGUUGUCACCUUUGAGCUGGGUGAGAUGUUGCUUAUGCUUUUGGCAGAUGGGGACGAUGAACUGACAGACUUUGAAAAUGAGUGGGACUUGUUCCAUGAUGAUCUGGAAGAUUUUUAUGACUUGGCUCAGUAGCCACCUUGCGUGGCAUGUGAACUGGCCUGCUGACCUCAGACAGCAGCAGUCCCCUGUGGUGGUGUGACAGUGCCCAUGUUUCUCUCCUAGGCAGGCCUAUCAACUCCAGGUGCUGUCUUAAUAAUUUUUACCUAGGGCCUGUCUUCUCAAUCUGUGACCUUUCCCCAAGGAGUGUGUUAUUUUCUCUGUGGAAAAAAGUUUCAAAAAUAAAUCCUGAAGUUAGUGUUUUGUAA